rnacentral:rRNA from 1 species
AGAGUUUGAUCCUGGCUCAGGACGAACGCUGGCGGCGCGCCUAACACAUGCAAGUCGAACGAGCGAGAGAGAGCUUGCUUUCUCAAGCGAGUGGCGAACGGGUGAGUAACGCGUGAGGAACCUGCCUCAAAGAGGGGGACAACAGUUGGAAACGACUGCUAAUACCGCAUAAGCCCACGGCUCGGCAUCGAGCAGAGGGAAAAGGAGCAAUCCGCUUUGAGAUGGCCUCGCGUCCGAUUAGCUAGUUGGUGAGGUAACGGCCCACCAAGGCGACGAUCGGUAGCCGGACUGAGAGGUUGAUCGGCCACAUUGGGACUGAGACACGGCCCAGACUCCUACGGGAGGCAGCAGUGGGGAAUAUUGCACAAUGGAGGAAACUCUGAUGCAGCGAUGCCGCGUGAGGGAAGAAGGUUUUAGGAUUGUAAACCUCUGUCUUCAGGGACGAAAAAAGACGGUACCUGAGGAGGAAGCUCCGGCUAACUACGUGCCAGCAGCCGCGGUAAUACGUAGGGAGCGAGCGUUGUCCGGAAUUACUGGGUGUAAAGGGAGCGUAGGCGGGAUCGCAAGUCAGAUGUGAAAACUAUGGGCUUAACCCAUAAACUGCAUUUGAAACUGUGGUUCUUGAGUGAAGUAGAGGUAAGCGGAAUUCCUAGUGUAGCGGUGAAAUGCGUAGAUAUUAGGAGGAACAUCAGUGGCGAAGGCGGCUUACUGGGCUUUAACUGACGCUGAGGCUCGAAAGCGUGGGGAGCAAACAGGAUUAGAUACCCUGGUAGUCCACGCCGUAAACGAUGAUUACUAGGUGUGGGGGGACUGACCCCUUCCGUGCCGCAGCAAACGCAAUAAGUAAUCCACCUGGGGAGUACGACCGCAAGGUUGAAACUCAAAGGAAUUGACGGGGGCCCGCACAAGCAGUGGAGUAUGUGGAUUAAUUCGAAGCAACGCGAAGAACCUUACCAGGCCUUGACAUCGUAUGCAUAGCUCAGAGAUGAGUGAAAUCUCUUCGGAGACAUAUAGACAGGUGGUGCAUGGUUGUCGUCAGCUCGUGUCGUGAGAUGUUGGGUUAAGUCCCGCAACGAGCGCAACCCUUACUGUUAGUUGCUACGCAAGAGCACUCUAGCAGGACUGCCGUUGACAAAACGGAGGAAGGUGGGGAUGACGUCAAACCAUCAUGCCCCUUAUGACCUGGGCCUCACACGUACUACAAUGGCUGUCAACAGAGGGAAGCAAAGCCGCGAGGUGGAGCGAACCCCUAAAAGCAGUCUUAGUUCGGAUUGUAGGCUGCAACCCGCCUACAUGAAGUCGGAAUUGCUAGUAAUCGCAGAUCAGCAUGCUGCGGUGAAUACGUUCCCGGGCCUUGUACACACCGCCCGUCACGCCAUGGGAGUCGGUAACACCCGAAGCCUGUAGUCUAACCGCAAGGAGGACGCAGUCGAAGGUGGGAUUGAUGACUGGGGUGAAGUCGUAACAAGGUA